rnacentral:lncRNA from 1 species
GGGCUUUAGCCAACACCCCUAGGUGUGGUCUAUUUACUCCAAUAUUUUUUAUAGGAAUCGAGGAGGAGAGAGAAGGAAGAUCGAAGGUUGAAGAAUCUAGAAGCGAAUAUUCUCCCGUGAAAUUAUUUGCAUAAACAAUAUUUAUAUAUGCAAAAAUCUCUUCAGAGCAGUAAUUGGAAAUUAGGAUAACAGACCAUAUAUAAAGAACAUAGUUUUUUUCCCCUUUUUUUUUUAAGUUUUUUUUUUUUGGUCAACCGAGUCCAUUAGUGUAUAGGUAAUAUGAAUCUUAAUGCUCAUUUAUGUUUGUUUUCGGUUUCGAGUUGAAAAUAAUUCUUCAUUCUUUUUUUUUCUUUUUUUCCAAAAUUUCUUCGUUCAUUGUACCAAAUAUACUUGGCUUUGAAUAGAUAUUCUACAAAUCAAACGUAAGAUGUAAUAAAAAAAUUUUACUAGUAUUUUUAAUUUUAAAAAUUUUAAAAUUUUAAAAGUAAAUUAAAUGACGUGGCAUGUUCAUGCCACAUCAU